GAUGAAGAACGUAGCGAAAUGCGAUAAGUAAUGUGAAUUGCAGAAUUCAGUGAAUCAUCGAAUCUUUGAACGCACAUUGCGCCCCUUGGUAUUCCGAGGGGCAUGCCUGUUCGAGCGUCAUUAUAACCCCUCAAGCUCAGCUUGGUGUUGGGGCCUGCCGCACGGGCAGCCCUUAAAAUCAGUGGCGGUGCUAUCUGGCUCUAAGCGUAGUAAUUCUUCUCGCUAUAGAGUCCCGGUGGAUGCUUGCCAUUAACCCCCAAUUUUCUAUGGUUGACCUCGGAUCAGGUAGGGAUACCCGCUGAACUUUAGCAUAUCAAUAAGCGGAGGA
rnacentral:misc_RNA from 1 species